rnacentral:rRNA from 1 species
UACGAAGGGGGCUAGCGUUGCUCGGAAUCACUGGGCGUAAAGGGCAUGCAGGCGGUCGGACGCGUUUCGGGUGACAGCGGGUGGCUUAACUACCCGAGUGGUCGAAAGACGGUUUGACUUGAGGACGCGAGAGGGACACGGAAUUCCGGGUGGAGUGGUGAAAUGCGUAGAGAUCCGGAGGAACACCGAAGGCGAAGGCAGUGUCCUGGCGCGUAACUGACGCUGAGGUGCGAAAGCCAGGGGAGCGAACGGG